CCCUUAGAUGUUCUGGGCUGCACACGUGCUACACUGGCAGGUUCAGCGAGCUUCAUGCCCUGAUCUGAAAGGAAUGGGAAAUCUUUUCAAAACCUGCCGUGCUUGGGAUAGAUGUUUGCAAUUAUUCAUCUUCAACGAGGAUUGCCUUGUAAGCGCACGUCAUCAGCGUGCAUUGAAUACGACCCUGUAUUCUGUACACACCGCCCGUCGCACCUACCGAUUGAGUGGUCCGGUGAAGUCUCGAGAUUGUGGCAAUCUCCUUUAUUGGAGUUUGACUGCGAGAACUUGCCUAAACCUUAUCACUUAGAGGAAGGUGAAGUCGUAACA
rnacentral:rRNA from 1 species